GAUGAACGCUGGCGGCGUGCCUAAUACAUGCAAGUCGAGCGAACGGACGAGCAUCUUUCUUCUCGGAUGUUAGCGGCGGACGGGUGAGUAACACGUGGAUAACCUACCUAUAAGACUGGGAUAACUUAGGGAACCCGUAGCUAAUAACGGAUACUAUUUUGAACCGCAUGGUUCCAAAGUGAAAGACGGUCUUGCUGUCACUUAUAGAUGGAUCCGCGCUGCAUUAGCUAGUUGGUAAGGUAACGGCAUACCAAGGCAACGAUGCAUAGCCGACCUGAGAGGGUGAUCGGCCACACUGGAACUGAGCCACGGUCCAGACUCCUACGGGAGGCAGCAGUAGGGAAUCUUCCGCAAUGGGCGAAAGCCUGACGGAGCACCGCCGAGUGAGGGAUGGAGGUCUUCGGAUAGGAAAACUCUGCUAUUAGUGAAGAACAUAUGUGUAAGUAACUGUGCACAUCUUGACGGUACCUAAUCAGAAAGCCACGGCUAACUACGUG
rnacentral:rRNA from 1 species